AUUGAACGCUGGCGGCAGGCCUAACACAUGCAAGUCGAGCGGAUGAGAGGAGCUUGCUUCUCGAUUCAGCGGCGGACGGGUGAGUAAUGCCUAGGAAUCUGCCUGGUAGUGGGGGACAACGGUUCGAAAGGAACGCUAAUACAGCAUACGUCCUACGGGAGAAAGCAGAGAACCUUCGGUCCCUGCGCUAUCAGAUGCGCCUAGGUCGGAUUAGCUAGUUGGUGAGGUAACGGCUCACCAAGGCGACGAUCCGUAACUGGUCUGAGAGGAUGAUCAGUCACACUGGAACUGAGACACGGUCCAGACUCCUACGGGAGGCAGCAGUGGGGAAUAUUGGACAAUGGGCGAAAGCCUGAUCCAGCCAUGCCGCGUGUGGGAAGAAGGUCUUCGGAUUGUAAAGCACUUUAAGUUGGGAGGAAGGGUUGUAGAUUAAUACUCUGCAAUUUUGACGUUACCGACAGAAUAAGCACCGGCUAACUCUGUGCCAGCAGCCGCCGUAAAAC
rnacentral:rRNA from 1 species